AGAGCUAUAGGUUAAGUUAAAAUUAAACCAUUGGCCUUCAAAGCCGAAAAUGAGCAAAUCUAGCUUUG
rnacentral:tRNA from 1 species